UACAGAGGGGGCAAGCGUUGUUCGGAAUUACUGGGCGUAAAGCGCACGUAGGCGGACUGUUAAGUCGGGGGUGAAAUCCUGGGGCUCAACCUCAGAAUUGCCUCCGAUACUGGCAGUCUCGAGUGCGGGAGAGGUGAGUGGAAUUCCCAGUGUAGAGGUGAAAUUCGUAGAUAUUGGGAAGAACACCAGUGGCGAAGGCGGCUCACUGGCCCGUAACUGACGCUGAGGUGCGAAAGCGUGGGGAGCAAACAGG
rnacentral:rRNA from 1 species